rnacentral:rRNA from 1 species
UACGUAGGGGGCCAGCGUUGUCCGGAAUCAUUGGGCGUAAAGCGCGUGUAGGCGGCCUUGUAAGUCCGUUCUGAAAGCCCGGGGCUCAACCCCGGGAGGCGGAUGGAUACUGCAAGGCUCGAGUACGGAAGAGGCGAGUGGAAUUCCCGGUGUAGCGGUGAAAUGCGCAGAUAUCAGGAGGAACACCGGUGGCGAAGGCGGAUCUCUGGGCCUUACCUGACGCUGAGGCGCGAAAGCUAGGGGAGCGAACAGG